GCUUUCCGAACCUGAUGGCUGCUCACAGACAAUACUGCCCCCCCACCGCCUUCCGGGUCCCAGUGGCUUAAGCACCUCCUCUCCCAAAUUGAUCAGACUGAAGAACUACUGCCCAUCUCACACCCGCGUCCUGUCGUCUGUGGCACAUGCCUUUGUCCAAAGACGUGCCUGGUUUCUGAAGUUCUCCUGCGAACCUGGGUCCGUUAUGAUCUGUCCUGUUUAUCUGCCGCCCCUGGCUGGACCAAGUGUGCAGGCCUGAGCUAGUGCAGACUCAAAUCAGAAUGGGGACCGUCGCCUCUACUGUUUGCAAAUUGUCAUAGCAACCUCCCAGCAAGAUCACCUUCAGCUAAAUACAAAUGCCCCAAAAUGAGUGUUUCAGAGUUACAGUGUGGCCCUCUCAAGAGUCUCCAGGGCUCCUACAGGGGCAUCAAGGACUGAGGGUGUUGGCAGAGGGAACAGGUGGCAAAGAGUAGAACUGUGCAUAGUAAUAUGUCCCUCUAAAAAAUCCUUCUCCCAGUAAAGUAGAAACACAGUGAAACAAUCAAUCCAAUAAUAAACCUUUACAAAGAAGAGUGAUGACCUGAUCUGGUCCCAGCAAGAGAUACUCCCCCUUGCUUGUCAUCAGAGACGAUCACAUUCAAAUUCACGUGGGGAAACAUAUUCAGUGUUCAGAAUUAACUAAAAGAAAAGGGAUUACUUAGCAGCAGAGUUGAAGCUAGAACUCAUUUUCUGACUCAGUUUAAUCUCACUCUGCUCUGUGUUACCUUGGCUUUUAAGAAACAUCACACCUCUUUUCCUUCCUUCCCUUUCAAACAAUUAUUUUCAUACUGUCUUCCUUUUCUUAAUGAGUGUUCCAUACAACUGAUGUUUAGAUGAAAAAUGUGAAGCCAAAAAUUCAAUUUUAAUAUAACGGGACCCAGCUUUCGCUCAAAUUAUUCUUACCUUACUUCAACAGAAGCUAAAUACUCUCCUGCUUUUUCAUGAAUAAGAAAAAUGCUAACUACUGGAAGUCAUAGUUUGUGAAAUCCAAAUUAGAAAUAUUAAUUUCCACAUUAAAUAUGAGGAAAAGGAACACUGACUUUUUUUGUAAA